AGUGAACGCUGGCGGUAGGCCUAACACAUGCAAGUCGAACGGCAGCACAGUAAGAGCUUGCUCUUACGGGUGGCGAGUGGCGGACGGGUGAGGAAUACAUCGGAAUCUACUUUUUCGUGGGGGAUAACGUAGGGAAACUUACGCUAAUACCGCAUACGACCUACGGGUGAAAGCAGGGGAUCUUCGGACCUUGCGCGAUUGAAUGAGCCGAUGUCGGAUUAGCUAGUUGGCGGGGUAAAGGCCCACCAAGGCGACGAUCCGUAGCUGGUCUGAGAGGAUGACAGGCCAAACUGAAACGGAGAAACGGUCAAGAUCCCUAGGGGAGGAAGAAGUGGGGAAUAUUGGACAAUGGGGGCAGGCCUGAUCAGCCAUACCGCGUGGGUGAAGAAGGCCUUCGGGUUGUAAAGCCCUUUUGUUGGGAAAGAAAAGCAGCAGGUUAAUACCCCGCUGUUCUGACGGUACCCAAAGAAUAAGCACCGGCUAACUUCGUG
rnacentral:rRNA from 1 species